GACGUAGGGCGCAAGCGUUGUCCGGAUUAUUGGGCGUAAAGAGCUCGUAGGCGGCUUGUUGCGUCGACCGUGAAAACCCGUGGGCUCAACUCGACGGCUUGCGGUCGAUACGGGCAGGCUAGAGUUCGGUAGGGGAGACGUGGAAUUCCUGGUGUAGCGGUGAAAUGACGCAGAUAUCAGGAGGAACACCGGUGGCGAAGGCGGGUCUCUGGGCCGAUACUGACGUGAGGAGCGAAAGCGUGGGGAGCGAACAGG
rnacentral:rRNA from 1 species